AAGAGGAGGGCGUAGUUGUGGGAAAGAGCUGUGGGCGGAAAUGGUUAAGUGCCGGGUGGAGCAGGGGCUGGCGUCGGAAUAGCUGGGGCGGAGCUGCGGGAGGAGGAGCUGGGGGGCGGAACUGUGGGAGGAACAGCUGGGGCGGAGCUGAGGGAGGAGGAGCAGGGGGGCAGAACAGCUGGGGUGGAGCUGUGGGCGGAGCUGCAAGAGGAGAAGUUGGGGACGGACUUGCAGGAGGAAAAGCUAGGGGUGGAGCUGUGGGUGGAGUUGGGGGAGGGAGCUGAGGCCCUUCUGUGAUGCACCCUUAGGCAAGAGUCCAAACUUUCCCGCGGCGACCUAACUGCACCUCCAGUGUCUUCCCCCAGAGGGCACAGAAGCAGCAAGAAGGGCGGGAACACUUGACUGGGGUCCAUGCAGCUCUAGGCUGAGUCUUGCAGGGCUGAGCCCCCCAGGCCUGCUCUCCUGUGUCCUGGCCGCUCCGUCAGUGCCUGCCAGUGGGGUCCAGAGGGACCGUUUUUUUAACGCCUCUUUUGCAGUCUCCCGCAUUGACUUCAUAACCAAGUUCUGGGUCCCUGCCUCUGGAGUGCCUGAUGAGACAAAACGGCUCCUCGUCCUGCAUCCCCGCUGCUACUUCCAGAAUUCAGGCCUCGUGGUCUGGAGCCUGCACUGUUCCAUGAGCCUCCUGAGCAACCUGGAG
rnacentral:lncRNA from 1 species